ensembl:lncRNA
UGCUCCUGCUCUCACCCCACACUCUGGUCUCCUCCUCGACAGGCAGCCUCUCCCUGGUCCUCGUCCCUCAAGAGAGCAGGCUGCCUGUCAGUGCCAUCCUGCAGUGGCAGGUGUCCCACUGUGGGAAGCCUGGGGAUGCAUGCCAUGCAAGGGAGAGGCAUGCCAUGCAAGGGAGAGGCAUCCCUGGAGGACAGGGGGCUCGGGCAGGUCUCGAGCAGGAAGGCAGAGCAGAGCUGGAGGCACCUGCAGCACUGAGGCCUGGGCACCCCAGCCACUAGUUCCAGUUCAGCCCCUGGCAAGCACCUGAAGUGAGCUGUGUGUGUGCUUUCUGUAACCUGGGUGAGGCUGGCCAGGCUGGAGUUCACUGACCUGGCCAAGAAAGGCCGAGGAGAGGCCCAGAGGACAUGUGAGCAGCAUACAGCAGAGGGCAGGAUGGAGAGGGGGUGGGGGAGCUGUGGCCCUGUCCUUCCAGACACCCCCAGGACAUGGCUGAAGCACCAGAGCUUGGAGACCUGGGGUGGCACGCCAGGGCUGGCCAGAGGCUGCGGCUGCAGCUCCAGCUGGUUGUGCAUGACCCCAAGUCUGCUCGUGGUCCUGUGCUGCCCGACCGUCCCUAGGCAGGGCAAGUGAUAGCUUUAGAGGGGAGAAACAUACACUUGCUGUGAGAGCCGGACCAGCCUCUGUGGGUGUGGGCAAGGCGUGAUGGGGUGCAGCAGAGGUUGGGGGAGAGGCAGCACCCACAGGGUCAUCAGGAGGUGUGAGGGGACAAGAAAAGGCGGGGAUCCAAUGGGAGUGGCCCAGAGUGUUGUCCAGAACACACAGACAAGGCUGAGAAGUGUGCCCCGUGGGUCAUGAGGUGGCUGCAGAGCUGUCACUCACCUGCAGAGCUGGGAAGAGAUGUGACGAGAGAGGAGAUGGACUGGCUCUCAGUGGACACAGACCUGGUGGUGGGGAGGGAGGAGCUUCCGUGUGCAGUGAUGGAGCUGGCUAGGAACACAGUAGUCUGCAGCCUGGUGGUACUCGGCUGUCUGGUGGUGAGGUUGGUGGCUGGAGAACUUGGGACGGCUGUCACCCCCAGUGUAGAAGACAGGAGGCCGUGGGUGGGGGUUUGGGUGGUGAGAGAGGUGGACUGGGCGGUGGUGGACUGAGAGGAUGGGACAGAGGAAGUGGGACUGCUGACCGUGGUCCGGGGUGUAGACAGGAUGACCGUACUAACAGUGGGGGCAGGGGACAGGGUGGGAGCUGAUGGAGGUGACAGGGAGGCCCUGAUGGGUGUGGAGGCGGCUGGGGAAGGGGGGCUGGUUGGCAGGGACGCUGUUUGUGACAUGGUCAGAGGUGCAGAGGGCGAGGGACUGUGUGGAGCUGAGCUGACGCUUGGGAUGCUGUGUGAAGUGGAGACUGCAGAAGGGGAAGGGGAAGACGAUAUCAAAGGAGAGGUGUUCGAGGACCCGUGAGGAGGAGGAGAGGAAACAGUGGGCAAGGAGGAGGGGAUUGGGACAGUGGAAGAAGAGGGGUAAUGGGGAAGAGUCGACACAGAAACAGAAGUGGUUAAAGGACUUUGGCUUGGGUUCAGAGAAGCUGGAGAAGACAAUGGAGAGCUGAAGCUAGAGCUUUGUAGUGGUGCUGUGCUGACUGAGCUCUGGGUUUGUGUGGUCCCUGUUGUGGUCUUUGUGAGUGGCAGGGUUGUGGGUGUGGUGCUCCCUAUUGUUGUUGUCAGCAGUGGGGAUAUGGAUGUGGGUGCCAUGGAUGUGACCGGGACGUGUGUCAAUGGCGUUGGGGUGCCAGUAGGCUUUGUGGUGGAGUAGGUAGCAUGGGACUCAGUUGGGGUGAUGACUUGGUGAGAGGUUGAAGUCACAGAUGUUGACACAUGGAUGGGAAGGGUCUCUGGAUGUGAUGGGGUGGAAUGGGUGGUGGUGGUCCGGAAGGAUGUUCCUGUUGGCAGAACUGUUGUGUGAGAGGUGGUGUGGACAGAAAAGGUGGCACUGGAGUGAGUGGUGAAUGGAGUGUGUGGCCCAGUGGGGGCAGCUGUUGUGUGUGUCACGGGUGUUCCAGUGCCUCUACUGGUAGAUGGAAGGGAGAUAGUACUGAGCAGUGGAGAAGUGCUUACAGGGAGGAUGGUUGAAGUAGAAUGUGAUAUUGGGGCUGUGGAGGUUGUUAUUGUGCUGACCAAGUUUUGGGCUUGAGUGGUCCCUGUUGUGGUCUUUGUCAGUGGUGGGACUGUAGGUGCAGUGGUCUUUGUCAGUGGUGUGGCUGUGGAUGUAGUGGUCUCUGUGGUGGUCUUUGUCAGUGGUGUGGCUAUAGGUGUGGUGGACCCUAUGGUGGUCUUUGUCAGUGGUGUGGCUGUGGUGGUUUCUGUUGUGGUCUUUGUCAGUGGUGUGGCUGUGGUGGUCUCUGCGGUGGUCUUUGUCAGUGGUGUGGCUGUGGUGGUCUCUGCGGUGGUCUUUGUCAGUGGUGUGGCUGUGGUGGUCUCUGUGGUGGUCUUUGUCAGUGGUGUGGCUGUGGGUGUGGUGGUCUCUAUCAGUGGUGUGGCUGUGGGUGUGGUGGUCUCUAUCAGUGGUGUGGCUGUGGGUGUGGUGGUCUCUGUCAGUGGUGUGGCUGUGGUGGUCUCUGUGGUGGUCUUUGUCAGUGGUGUGACUGUGGGUGUGGUGGUCUCUGUCAGUGGUGUGGCUCUGGGUGUGGUGGUUUCUGCUGUGGUGGUUGUCAGUGGUGUGCCUGUGGGUGUGAUGGUCUUUGUCAGUGGUGUGGCUGUAGUGGUGUCUGUGGUGGUCUUUGUCAGUGGUGGGGCUGUGGUGGGUUCUGUGGUAGUCUUUGUCAGUGGUGUGGCUGUGGUGGUCUCUGUGGUGGUCUUUGUCAGUGGUGUGACUGUGGGUGUGGUGGUCUCUGUCAGUGGUGUAGCUCUGGGUGUGGUGGUUUCUGCUGUGGUGGUUGUCAGUGGUGUGCCUGUGGGUGUGAUGGUCUUUGUCAGUGGUGUGGCUGUAGUGGUGUCUGUGGUGGUCUUUGUCAGUGGUGGGGCUGUGGUGGGUUCUGUGGUAGUCUUUGUCAGUGGUGUGGCUGUGGGUGUAGUGGUUUCUGUGGUGGUCUCUGUCAGUGGUGUGACUGUGGGUGUAGUGGUUUUUGUGCUGGUCUCUGUCAGUGGAGUGGCUGUGGAUGUGGUAGUUUUUCUGGUUGUCUUUGUCAGUGGUGUGCCUGUGGGUGUGGUGGUCUCUGUCAGUGGUGUGGCUGUGGAUGUGGUAGUUUUUCUGGUUGUCUUUGUCAGUGGUGUGGCUGUGGGUGUGGUGGUCUCUGUCAGUGGUGUGGCUGUGGGUGUGGUAGUCUCUGUCAGUGGAGUGGCUGUGGAUGUGGUAGUUUUUCUGGUUGUCUUUGUCAGUGGUGUGGCUGUGGGUGUGGUGGUCUCUGUCAGUGGUGUGGGUGUGGGUAUGGUGGUGGUUGUCAGUGGUGUGCCUGUUGGUGUGGUGGUUUCUAUGGUGGUCUUUGUCAGUGGUAUGGGUGUGGUGGUCUCUGUUGUGGUCAUUGUCAGUGGUGUGGCUGUGGGUGUGGUGGUCUCUGUCAUUGGUGUGGCUGUGCUGGUUUCUGUGGUGGUCUCUGUCAGUGCUGUGACUGUGGGUGUAGUGGUUUCUGUGGUGGUCUCUGUCAGUGAUGUGCCUGUGGGUGUAGUGGUUUCUAUGGUGGUCUCUGUCAGUGGUGUGACUGUGGGUGUGGUGGUUUCUGUGUUGGUCUUUGUCAGUGGUGUGGGUGUGGUGGUCUCUGUUGUGGUCAUUGUCAGUGGUGUGGCUGUGGGUGUGGUGGUCUCUGUUGUGGUCUCUGUCAGUGGUGUGGCUGUGGGUGUGGUGGUCUCUGUCAGUGGUGUGACUGUGGGUGUAGUGGUUUCUGUGGUGGUCUCUGUCAGUGGUGUGACUGUGGGUGUAGUGGUUUCUGUGGUGGUCUCUGUCAGUGGUGUGACUGUGGGUGUGGUGGUCUCUGUCAGUGGUGUAGGUGUGGUGGUUUCUGUGGUGGUCUUUGUCAGUGGUGUGGGUGUGGUGGUCUCUGUUGUGGUCAUUGUCAGUGGUGUGGCUGUGGGUGUGGUGGUUUCUGUUGUGGUCUUUGUCAGUGGUGUGUCUGUGGGUGUGGUGGUCUCUGUCAGUGGUGUGGGUGUGGUGGUCUCUGUUGUGGUCUCUGUCAGUGGUGUGUCUGUGGGUGUGGUGGUCUUUGUCAGUGGUGUGGGUGUGGUGGUUUCUGUUGUGGUUGUCAGUGGUGUGGCUCUGGGUGUGGUGGUCUUUGUCAGUGGUGUGGUGGUCUCUGUUGUGGUCUUUGUCACUGGAGUGGCUGUGACUGUGGUGGUUUCUAUUGUGGUUGUCAGUGGUGUGGCUGGGGAUUUGGUGGUCUUUGUCAGUGGUGUGACUGUGGGUGUGGUGGUCUCUGUCAGUGGUGUGGGUGUGGUGGUUUCUGUUGUGGUCUUUGUCAGUGGUGUGACUGUGGUGGUUUUUGUGGUGGUCUUUGUCAGUGGUGUGGGUGUGGUGGUCUCUGUUGUGGUCUUUGUCAGUGGAGUGGCUGUGACUGUGGUGGUUUGUGUUGUAGUCUUUGUCAGUGGUAUGGCUGUGAAUGUGGUGGUCUCUGUCAGUGGUGUGGCUGUGCUGGUUUCUGUGGUGGUUUCUGUCAGUGGUGUGAUUGUGGGUGUAGUGGUUUUUGUGGUGGUCUUUGUCAGUGGUGUGUCUGUGGGUGUGGUGGUCUCUGUUGUCUUUGUCAGUGGUGUGACUGUGGGUGUGGUGGUGUCUGUCAGUGGUGUGACUGUGGGUGUAGUGGUUUUUGUGCUGGUCUCUGUCAGUGGAGUGGCUGUGGAUGUGGUAGUUUUUCUGGUUGUCUUUGUCAGUGGUGUGGCUGUGGGUGUGGUGGUCUCUGUCAGUGGUGUGGCUGUGGGUGUGGUAGUCUCUGUCAGUGGAGUGGCUGUGGAUGUGGUAGUUUCUCUGGUUGUCUUUGUCAGUGGUGUGGCUGUGGGUGUGGUGGUCUCUGUCAGUGGUGUGGGUGUGGGUAUGGUGGUGGUUGUCAGUGGUGUGCCUGUUGGUGUGGUGGUUUCUGUUGUGGUCUCUGUCAGUGGUGUGACUGUGGAUGUGGUGGUUUCUGUGGUGGUCUUUGUCAGUGGUAUGGGUGUGGUGGUCUCUGUUGUGGUCAUUGUCAGUGGUGUGGCUGUGGGUGUGGUGGUCUCUGUCAUUGGUGUGGCUGUGCUGGUUUCUGUGGUGGUCUCUGUCAGUGAUGUGACUGUGGGUGUAGUGGUUUCUGUGGUGGUCUCUGUCAGUGGUGUGACUGUGGGUGUAGUGGUUUCUGUGGUGGUCUCUGUCAGUGGUGUGCCUGUGGGUGUAGUGGUUUCUAUGGUGGUCUCUGUCAGUGAUGUGACUGUGGGUGUAGUGGUUUCUGUUGUGGUCUGUGUCAGUGUUGUGGCUGUGGGUGUGGUGGUUUCUGUUGUGGUCUUUGUCAGUGGUGUGACUGUGGUGGUUUUUGUGGUGGUCUUUGUCAGUGGUGUGGGUGUGGUGGUCUCUGUUGUGGUCUUUGUCAGUGGUGUGACUGUGGGUGUGGUGGUCUCUGUCAGUGGUGUGGCUGUGGGUGUGGUGGUCUUUGUCAGUGGUGUGGCUGUGGGUGUGGUGGUUUCUCUGGUUGUCUUGGUCCAUAGUGUGACUGUGGGUGUGGUUGUCUCUGUUGUAGUCUCUGUCAGUGAUGUCACUGUGGGUGUAGUGGUUUUUGUGGUGGUCUUUGUCAGUGGUGUGGCUGUGGGUAUGGUGGUCUUUGUCAGUGGUGUGGAUGUUGUGGUUUCUGUCAGUGGUGUUCCUGUGGGUGUGGUGGUUUCUGUGGUGGUCUUUGUCAGUGGUGUGCCUGUGGGUGUGGUGGUUUCUGUUGUGGUCUCUGUCAGUGGUGUGGCUGUGGGUGUAGUGGUUUUUGUGGUGGUCUUUGUCAGUGAUGUGACUGUGGAUGUGGUGGUUUCUGUCAGUGGUGUGCCUGUGGGUGUGGUGGUCUCUGUUAUAGUCUCUGUCAGUUGUGUGACUGUGGGUGUAGUGGUUUUUGUGGUGGUCUUUGUCAGUGGUGUGCCUGUGGGUGUGGUGGUUUCUGUUGUGGUCUCUGUCAGUGGCGUGGCUGUGGGUGUGGUGGUCUCUGUCAGUGGUGUGGCUGUGGGUGUAGUGGUUUUUGUGGUGGUCUUUGUCAGUGAUGUGACUGUGGAUGUGGUGGUUUCUGUCAGUGGUGUGGCUGUGGGUGUGGUGGUCUUUGUCAGUCGUGUGUCUGUGGGUGUGGUGGUCUCUGUUGUGGUCUUUGUCAGUGGUGUGACUGUGGAUAUGAUGGUCUCUGUCAGUGGUGUGGCUGUGCUGGUUUCUGUGGUGGUUUCUGUCAGUGGUGUGAUUGUGGGUGUAGUGGUUUUUGUGGUGGUCUUUGUCAGUGGGGUGGGUGUGGUGGUCUCUGUUGUGGUCUUUGUCAGUGGUGUGAUUGUGGGUGUGCUGGUUUCUGUGAGUGGUGUGGCUGUGGUGGUUUCUAUCAGUGGUGUGAUUGUGGGUGUAGUGGUUUUUGUGGUGGUCUUUGUCAGUGGUGUGGGUGUGGUGGUCUCUGUUGUGGUCUUUGUCAGUGGUGUGGCUGUGGGUGUGGUGGUCUUUGUCAGUGGUGUGACUGUGGGUGUGGUGAUCUUUGUCAGUGGUGUGGAUGUUGUGGUUUCUGUCAGUGGUGUGUCUGUGGGUGUGGUGCUCUCUAUUGUAGUCUCUGUCAGUGGUGUGACUGUGGGUAUGGUGGUGGUUGUCAGUGGUGUUCCUGUGGGUGUGGUGGUUUCUGUGGUGGUCUUUGUCAGUGGUGUGCCUGUGGGUGUGGUGGUCUCUGUUGUGGUCUCUGUCAGUGAUGUCACUGUGGGUGUAGUGGUUUUUGUGGUGGUCUUUGUCAGUGAUGUGACUGUGGAUGUGGUGGUUUCUGUCAGUGGUGUGGCUGUGGGUGUGGUGGUCUUUGUCAGUGGUGUGGCUGUGGGUGUGGUGGUCUCUGUCUGUGGUGUGGGUGUGGUGGUUUCUGUCAGUGGUGUGGGUGUGGUAGUCUUUGUCAGUGGUGUGACUGUGGGUGUGGUGGUCUCUGUUGUAGUCUCUGUCAGUGAUGUCACUGUGGGUGUAGUGGUUUUUGUGGUGGUCUUUGUCAGUGGUGUGGCUGUGGGUAUGGUGGUCUUUGUUAGUGGUGUGGAUGUUGUGGUUUCUGUCAGUGGUGUUUCUGUGGGUGUGGUGGUCUCUGUUGUGGUAUUUGUCAGUGGUGUGACUGUGGGUGUGGUGGUCUUUGUCAGUGGUGUGGCUGUGGGUGUGGUGGUCUUUGUCAGUGGUGUGGAUGUUGUGGUUUCUGUCAGUGGUGUUUCUGUGGGUGUGGUGGUCUCUGUUGUGGUAUUUGUCAGUGGUGUGACUGUGGGUGUGGUGGUCUUUGUCACUGGUGUGGAUGUGGUGGUCUUUGUCAGUGGUGUGGCUGUGGGUGUGGUGGUCUUUGUCAGUGGUGUGACUGUGGAUGUGGUGGUUUCUCUGGUUGUCUUGGUCCAUAGUGUGACUGUGGGUGUGGUUGUCUCUGUUGUAGUCUCUGUCAGUGAUGUCACUGUGGGUGUAGUGGUUUUUGUGGUGGUCUUUGUCAGUGGUGUAGCUGUGGGUGUGGUGGUGUUUGUCAGUGGUGUGGAUGUGGUGGUUUCUGUCAAUGGUGUGUCUGUGGGUGUGGUGGUCUCUGUUGUGGUCUUUGUCAGUAGUGUGACUGUGGGUGUGGUGGUCUUUGUCAGUGGUGUGACUGUGGAUGUGGUGGUUUCUCUGGUUGUCUUGGUCCAUAGUGUGACUGUGGGUGUGGUUGUCUCUGUUGUAGUCUCUGUCAGUGAUGUGACUGUGGGUGUAGUGGUUUCUGUUGUGGUCUGUGUCAGUGUUGUGGCUGUGGGUGUGGUGGUUUCUGUUGUGGUCUUUGUCAGUGGUGUGACUGUGGUGGUUUUUGUGGUGGUCUUUGUCAGUGGUGUGGGUGUGGUGGUCUCUGUUGUGGUCUUUGUCAGUGGUGUGACUGUGGGUGUGGUGGUCUCUGUCAGUGGUGUGGCUGUGGGUGUGGUGGUCUUUGUCAGUGGUGUGGCUGUGGAUGUGGUGGUCUUUGUCACUGGUGUGGAUGUGGUGGUCUUUGUCAGUGGUGUGGCUGUGGGUGUGGUGGUCUUUGUCAGUGGUGUGACUGUGGAUGUGGUGGUUUCUCUGGUUGUCUUGGUCCAUAGUGUGACUGUGGGUGUGGUUGUCUCUGUUGUAGUCUCUGUCAGUGAUGUCACUGUGGGUGUAGUGGUUUUUGUGGUGGUCUUUGUCAGUGGUGUAGCUGUGGGUGUGGUGGUGUUUGUCAGUGGUGUGGAUGUGGUGGUUUCUGUCAAUGGUGUGUCUGUGGGUGUGGUGGUCUCUGUUGUGGUCUUUGUCAGUAGUGUGACUGUGGGUGUGGUGGUCUUUGUCAGUGGUGUGGCUGUGGGUGUGGUGGUCUUUGUCAGUGGUGUGGCUGUGGGUAUGGUGGUCUUUGUCAUUGGUGUGGCUGUGGGUGUGGUGGUCUCUGUCAGUGGUGUGGCUGUGGGUAUAGUGGUUUUUGUGGUGGUCUUUGUCAGUGAUGUGACUGUGGAUGUGGUGGUUUCUGUCAGUGGUGUAACUGUGGGUGUGGUGGUCUCUGUUAUAGUCUCUGUCAGUUGUGUGACUGUGGGUGUAGUGGUUUUUGUGGUGGUCUUUGUCAGUGGUGUGCCUGUGGGUGUGGUGGUUUCUGUUGUGGUCUCUGUCAGUGGUGUGGCUGUGGGUGUGGUGGUCCCUGUCAGUGGUGUGGCUGUGGGUGUAGUGGUUUUUGUGGUGGUCUUUGUCAGUGAUGUGACUGUGGAUGUGGUGGUUUCUGUCAGUGGUGUGGCUGUGGGUGUGGUGGUCUUUGUCAGUCGUGUGUCUGUGGGUGUGGUGGUCUCUGUUGUGGUCUUUGUCAGUGGUGUGACUGUGGAUAUGAUGGUCUCUGUCAGUGGUGUGGCUGUGCUGGUUUCUGUGGUGGUUUCUGUCAGUGGUGUGAUUGUGGGUGUAGUGGUUUUUGUGGUGGUCUUUGUCAGUGGGUGGGUGUGGUGGUCUCUGUUGUGGUCUUUGUCAGUGGUGUGAUUGUGGGUGUGCUGGUUUCUGUGAGUGGUGUGGCUGUGGUGGUUUCUAUCAGUGGUGUGAUUGUGGGUGUAGUGGUUUUUGUGGUGGUCUUUGUCAGUGGUGUGGGUGUGGUGGUCUCUGUUGUGGUCUUUGUCAGUGGUGUGGCUGUGGGUGUGGUGGUCUUUGUCAGUGGUGUGACUGUGGGUGUGGUGAUCUUUGUCAGUGGUGUGGAUGUUGUGGUUUCUGUCAGUGGUGUGUCUGUGGGUGUGGUGCUCUCUAUUGUAGUCUCUGUCAGUGGUGUGACUGUGGGUAUGGUGGUGGUUGUCAGUGGUGUUCCUGUGGGUGUGGUGGUUUCUGUGGUGGUCUUUGUCAGUGGUGUGCCUGUGGGUGUGGUGGUCUCUGUUGUGGUCUCUGUCAGUGAUGUCACUGUGGGUGUAGUGGUUUUUGUGGUGGUCUUUGUCAGUGAUGUGACUGUGGAUGUGGUGGUUUCUGUCAGUGGUGUGGCUGUGGGUGUGGUGGUCUUUGUCAGUGGUGUGGCUGUGGGUGUGGUGGUCUCUGUCUGUGGUGUGGGUGUGGUGGUUUCUGUCAGUGGUGUGGGUGUGGUAGUCUUUGUCAGUGGUGUGACUGUGGGUGUGGUGGUCUCUGUUGUGGUCUCUGUCAGUGGUGUGACUGUGGGUGUGGUGGUUUCUGUCAGUGGUGUGACUGUGGGUGUGGUGGUCUCUGUUAUAGUCUCUGUCAGUUGUGUGACUGUGGGUGUAGUGGUUUUUGUGGUGGUCUUUGUCAGUGAUGUGACAGUGGAUGUGGUGGUUUCUGUCAGUGGUGUGGCUGUGGUGGUCUCUGUCAGUGGUGUGGCGGUGGGUGUGGUGGUUUCUGUGGUGGUCUCUGUCAGUGGUGUGGUGGUUGGUGUGGUGGUCUCUGUAAGUGGUGUGGCUGUGGGUGUGGUGGUCUUUGUCAGUAGUGUGACUGUGGGUGUGGUGGUCAUUGUCAGCGGUGUGGCUGUGGGUGUGGUGGUCUCUGUUGUGGUUGUUGUCAGUGAUGUGACUGUGGAUGUGGUGGUCUCUGUCAGUGGUGUGGCUGUGGGUGUGGUGGUCUUUGUCAGUAGUGUGACUGUGGGUGUGGUGGUCAUUGUCAGCGGUGUGGCUGUGGGUGUGGUGGUCUCUGUUGUGGUUGUUGUCAGUGAUGUGACUGUGGAUGUGGUGGUCUCUGUCAGUAGUGUGACUGUGGGUGUGGUGGUCAUUGUCAGCAGUGUGGCUGUGGGUGUGGUGGUCUCUGUUGUGGUUGUUGUCAGUGAUGUGACUGUGGAUGUGGUGGUCUCUGUCAGUGAUGUGACUGUGGGUGUGGUGGUCUUUGUCAGUGGUGUGGCUGUGGGUGUCAUGGUCUUUGUCAGUGGUGUGGCUGUGGGUGUUGUGGUCUUUGUCAGUAGUGUGACUGUGGGUGUGGUGGUCAUUGUCAGCGGUGUGGCUGUGGGUGUGGUGGUCUCUGUUGUGGUUGUUGUCAGUGAUGUGACUGUGGAUGUGGUGGUCUCUGUCAGUAGUGUGACUGUGGGUGUGGUGGUCAUUGUCAGCAGUGUGGCUGUGGGUGUGGUGGUCUCUGUUGUGGUUGUUGUCAGUGAUGUGACUGUGGAUGUGGUGGUCUCUGUCAGUGAUGUGACUGCGGGUGUGGUGGUCUUUGUCAGUGGUGUGGCUGUGGGUGUCAUGGUCUUUGUCAGUGGUGUGGCUGUGGGUGUGGUGAUCUCUGUCAGUGGUGUGGUGGUGGUGGUUUCUGUGGUGGUAUCUCUCAGUGGUGUGGCUGUGGGUGUGGUGGUCUCUGUCAGUGGUGUGACUGUGGUGGUUUCUGUGGUCGUCUCUGUCAGUGGUGUGGCUGUGGAUGUGGUCUUUGUCAUUGGUGUGGCUGUGGAUGUGGUUUCUGUCAGUGGUGUGGCUGUGGGUGUGGUGGUUUCUGUGGUGGUCUCUGUCAGUGGUGUGGUUGUGGUGGUUUCUGUGGUGGUCUCUGUCAGUGGUGUGGCUGUGGGUGUGGUGGUCUUUGUCAUUGGUGUGGCUGUGGAUGUGGUUUCUGUCAGUGGUGUGUCUGUGGGUGUGGUGGUCUCUGUUGUGGUCUUUGUCAGUGGUAUGACUGUGGGUGUGGUGGUCUUUGUCAGUGGUGUGGCUGUGGGUGUGGUGGUCUCUGUCAGUGGUGUGGCUGUGGGUGUGGUGGUCUCUGUCAGUGGCGUGGCUGUGGGUUUGGAGGUCCCUGUGGUGGUGGUUGUCAGUGGUGUGGCUGUGGGUGUGGUGGUCCCUGUGGUGGUUGUCAGUGGUGUGACUGUAGGUGUGGUGGUGGUAGUCAGUGGUGUGGCUGUGGGUGUGAGCACUGUCUCUGUGACAGGGGUGUGUGUUGAUAGAGAAGGAGUGCCAGUUGUCUUUGUGGUGGAGAAGGUGGUGUGGGACUCGGUCAGGGUGAUAACCUGGUGAGAGGUUGGAGUCACUGAGGAGGUGGCCGAUGUUGACACGUGGACAGGAAGGGUCUCUGGAGGUGGUGGGGUUGGGUAGGGUGUGACUGUGGGUGUGGUGGUCUCUGUCAGUGGUGUGGUUGUGGUGGUUUCUGUGGUGGUCUCUCUCAGUGGCGUGGCUGUGGGUUUGGUGGUCCCUGUGGUGGUGGUUGUCAGUGGUGUGGCUGUGGGUGUGGUGGUCUUUGUCAGUUGUGUGGGUGUUGUGGUCUCUGUCAGUGGUGUGGCUGUGGAUGUGGUGGUCUCUGUCUGUGGUGUGGCUGUGGGUGUCGUGGUCUCUGUCAGUGGUGUGGCUGUGUGUGUCGUGGUCUCUGUCAGUGGUGUGGCUGUGGGUGUGGUUGUCUCUGUCAGUGGAGUGGCUGUGGGUGUGGUUGUCUCUGUCAGUGGCGUGGCUGUGGGUUUGGAGGUCCCUGUGGUGGUGGUUGUCUGUGGUGUGGCUGUGGGUGUGGUGGUCUUUGUCAGUGGUGUGGCUGUGGGUGUCGUGGUCCCUGUGGUGGUGGUUGUCAGUGGUGUGACUGUAGGUGUGGUGGUGGUUUUCAGUGGUGUGGCUCUGGGUGUGGUUGUCUCUGUCAGUGGCGUGGCUGUGGGUUUGGAGGUCCCUGUGGUGGUGGUUGUCUGUGGUGUGGCUGUGGGUGUGGUGGUGGUUUUCAGUGGUGUGGCUCUGGGUGUGGUUGUCUCUGUCAGUGGCGUGGCUGUGGGUUUGGAGGUCCCUGUGGUGGUGGUUGUCUGUGGUGUGGCUGUGGGUGUGGUUGUCUCUGUCAGUGGAGUGGCUGUGGGUGUGGUUGUCUCUGUCAGUGGCGUGGCUGUGGGUUUGGAGGUCCCUGUGGUGGUGGUUGUCUGUGGUGUGGCUGUGGGUGUGGUGGUCUCUGUCAGUGGUGUGGCUGUGGGUGUGGUGGUCUCUGUCAGUGGCGUGGCUGUGGGUGUGGUGGUCCCUGUGGUGGUUGUCAGUGGUGUGACUGUAGGUGUGGUGGUGGUAGUCAGUGGUGUGGCUGUGGGUGUGAGCACUGUCUCUGUGACAGGGGUGUGUGUUGAUAGAGAAGGGGUGCCAGUUGUCUUUGUGGUGGAGAAGGUGGUGUGGGACUCGGUCGGGGUGAUAACCUGGUGAGAGGUUGGAGUCACUGAGGAGGUGGCCGAUGUUGACACGUGGACAGGAAGGGUCUCUGGAGGUGGUGGGGUUGGGUAGGCUGUGACUGUGGGUGUGGUGGUCUCUGUCAGUGGUGUGGCUGUGGGUGUGGCUGUGGGUGUGGUGGUUGUGGGUGGAGUUGAUGUCUGGGGUGUGGUGGGGACAGGGAGUGGAAGGGUGGUGCUGGAGUGGGUGAUGGGCAUGGCCGUGGAGGGAGGAGCCGGUGUGUUGGGGCUGGCGCUGCCCUCGGCCCCAGUGGUGGGGGCCGUUGGUCUCAGGCCCGUGUGUGCUGUGCUGGGCCCUGUGGUGCCCUCUGGCGGUCGUGGGGGCUCCGUGCGCUGUGUCUCCUGGCUGAUGGGAGUUUCGGGGGUCCAUCGAUGUGUUGAGGAUGCUGUUGAAAGCAGGGCGUCAUUUCACUCCCUCCCCCUCGUACCCUGCUUUGGGGUCGCCCACGCCUUCCACAUCAGCCUCCACACCUGUGGCUCUAGUGUGCCUGCGGGGGUGUCCAGCAGCUUUCUGGAUGACUCUGGUUCCUCUCCCAGCCCCCUGUCCCGGCAUUGUCUGUGGGCCCUUGUUGCAUCCUGAAUGUCUGC